GGUGAAAAUUGUAAACUUUUACUCAAAAUUCAAUAUUUUUGUAAAAAUAAGUUAAAAUUCUUCGAACCAACAUAUGUAGUUGCCUCUCUCUCUAUCUCUGUCUCAUCUUCUUAGCUCAAUCUCCGAAAAAUGUCUAUGUGUUUUCCAUCUACCCCGAAGAAGAUGGCAUCGACAGUGGGAUGCUUUCUCACCGGUGCUGCACUUUUUGCUUAUGGUCUUCAUCUGUCUUACGUAAAUGUUGCUCCUCAACAAGCCCGAACAAAAGCUCGAAGUGAUUUUGUAAGAGAACGGCUUAAAAAGAAAUAUGGCGAACAUUAAACUCGUUCUCUUUUUUGUUUGUUCAGAAUAAAUCAUUUGACAUUUGAAUGCUGUUACUUACACCCCCAAAAUUCACCCAAAUGAGCAGGUGAUGAAAUGUUGUAGUAUUUAUUUAUUUUUUUUUGUUUUUGAGGGGAAAAUGAGAUCAGGAAAGGGUCAUAGUGUUAUUGUCUACUUAAUGAGAAUUUUGCCAAGUUAUGAACAACUGUGUGAACUUGGGAAACAUUAGGGAAAGAAGAUAACACAGUUUGGAUACAAUCAAUUAGACCACCAUAGUCAGAAAUAUUGUCAUUUAUGGUGUUACUAUGUUGAACCAGAUUGAGACAAUCGAUUUCGAUUUGGUUGAAGUUAAGUUGCUGCGCACUGCACCAUUUUAGUGCUUCCAACAAGGUCCAUGCUUCUGCAAUCUUUGGUUUCACAUUCACAGUGCCUUGAUGAAUAUUUGCAAGCCCUGCAACUACUUCCCCAUUGCUAUUCCUCACCACUGCUCGAAGCCUACUAAUUUUCCUUCUCGCUGAUAUGGCACCGUUUACAUUAAGCUUAAACUGACUCGAGUUUGAUCUGUGUGAGUCUGUGUCGUUGGUACUUUUGUCAUUUGUCUUCUGAGCUUGCUACUAGUGGUUGAGAUGUGUUCUUUCUUGAAUGUUUAAUUAAGAUUUUUGCCUUUCGAACUUUAA